rnacentral:rRNA from 1 species
GACGAACGCUGGCGGCGUGCCUAAUACAUGCAAGUCGAACGCAGUGGGGACGGGUGAGUAACACGUGGGUAACCUCCCAUCAGAGGGGAUAACACUUGGAAACAGGUGCUAAACCGAUACUGAUGGAUGAACCCGCAGUGCAUUAGCUAGUUGGUGAGGUAACGGCUCACCAAGGCCACGAGGCAUAGCCGACCUGAGAGGGUGAUCGACCACACUGUGACUGAGACAAGGCCCAGACUCCUACGGGAGGCAGCAGUAGGGAAUCGUCGGCAAUGGCCGAAAUGCUGACCGAGCAACGCCGCGUGAGCGAAGAAGGUUUUCGGAUCGUAAAACUCUGUUGUGAGAGAAGCGGUAUCUAACCAGAAAGCAACGGCUAACUACGUGCCAGCAGCGGCGGUAAUUC